rnacentral:lncRNA from 1 species
GUGUGUGUGAUACAUAAUGAUUUACCGACUCACUAUUUAAACCUCUGCUUCACAGACACGGAUGAAAAGGCAGACACUGAUUCAGACGGCUCAGACGGGGAUUUUGCUAGUGUGGAAAAGCAAGAUUCUGAUGAUGCACCUGAUGAUGCAAAUAAAACCUCUACAGAAGAUACAGAUGAUUCAUCUGACAAGGAUUCUUCAGACACAGAUGAGCAGCAGGACUCUGACGAUUCUGACAAAGACAAAACAGAUGGAGACACCGAUGAAAAGAGUGACAAGAAAGACGACAAAGACACCAGCGAUGACUCCAGUAAAGACUCAGAAGACGAGGGUCACGAAACCUCUGAGACGCCAGACAAAAGCGACACAGACAGCGACUCAGACACUGAUGAGGUGAACGUUUCAGACGACUCCAAAGACCAGGAUUCAGAAUCGAAAGACACCGACAGCACGGAGAAGAAAGAGAAAGACCAGGACUCUGACAGCGACGCAGACACCAGCAGCGUUCAAGACGCGGCAGAUUCCCCUGAUGCAGCAGACGCCGAGGAUAAAGACAAGGACAGCAGUGAAGAUGAUGGAGACAGCGAGAAGGAUGCCAAAGAGAAGGAGGAGACCAAUGAGACGGGCAGCGACAGCGAUGAGGGAAAAGAUAAAGAGGACGAAUCCAAACCAGACGAACAGGACAAGGAAGACGCCACCUCAAAAGAAGACGCCACAACCAGUCAGUCUGACGAAAGUCCACUGGAGGAAAUGACAGAAGACAAGCCUGAUUCUGACAGCUCCAGUCUGGACUCAAACUCAGACACGGACUCUGACAGCAAAGAUAAAGAGCAGGACAAAGACAAGAACAGCACAGAGUCCACAGACACAGAAAGCUCUGACAGCGACACGGACAGCUCAGAAACAGAAGGGGAAGAUACCGAUGAAGACAAUGACUCCAGCGUGGACAGGGAGAAACAAGACUCUCCUGAUGGAGCAUCAAUAGAGACAAAUGACUCUCAUUCCGACUCCAGCGAUGACCAUGACAAUGACUCAACAGAUGCUACGACAUCAAAUGAACACACUGAUGAAAACACUGAUGCAGACAGCCAUGAUGUUGCAGACGGUACGUCUCGUGGGUCUAAAGCACUUCAUUUUGAGCUAACCCCAAGGAUUACAUA